GGGGUUGUGGCUCAGCGGUAGAGCGCUUGCUUAGCACACAUGAGGCCCUGGGUUGGAUCCUCAGCACCACA
rnacentral:tRNA from 1 species